AUUGAACGCUGGCGGCAUGCCUUACACAUGCAAGUCGAACGGCAGCACGGGAGCAAUCCUGGUGGCGAGUGGCGAACGGGUGAGUAAUAUAUCGGAACGUGCCCAGUCGUGGGGAUAACGUAGCGAAAGCUACGCUAAUACCGCAUACGAUCUAUGGAUGAAAGCGGGGGAUCGCAAGACCUCGCGCGAUUGGAGCGGCCGAUAUCAGAUUAGGUAGUUGGUGAGGUAAAGGCUCACCAAGCCGACGAUCUGUAGCUGGUCUGAGAGGACGACCAGCCACACUGGGACUGAGACACGGCCCAGACUCCUACGGGAGGCAGCAGUGGGGAAUUUGGACAAUGGGCGGCGAAGACCUCGAUCCAGCAAUAGCCGCGUGC
rnacentral:rRNA from 1 species